GCGGAGGAAAAGAAACUAACAAGGAUUCCCCUAGUAACGGCGAGUGAACCGGGAAGAGCUCAAAUUUGAAAUCUGGCGUGCUCAGUGCGUCCGAGUUGUAAUCUAUAGAGUCGUUUUCCGUGCCGGACUGUGUCCAAGUCCCUUGGAACAGGGUAUCAAAGAGGGUGAUAAUCCCGUACUUGACACAAUGACCGGUGCUCUGUGAUACGUCUUCUACGAGUCGAGUUGUUUGGGAAUGCAGCUCAAAAUGGGUGGUGAGUUCCAUCUAAAGCUAAAUAUUGGCGAGAGACCGAUAGCGAACAAGUACCGUGAGGGAAAGAUGAAAAGCACUUUGGAAAGAGAGUUAAACAGUACGUGAAAUUGUUAAAAGGGAAACGAUUGAAGUCAGUCGUGACUGAGAGGCUCAGCCGGUUCUGCCGGUGUAUUCCCCUCAGUCGGGUCAACAUCAGUUUUGUUCGGUGGAUAAGGGCGGUUGGAAGGUGGCACCCUCGGGUGUGUUAUAGCCAACUGUCGCAUACAUCGGAUGAGACUGAGGAAUGCAGCUCGCCUUUAUGGCCGGGGUUCGCCCACGUUCGAGCUUAGGAUGUUGACAUAAUGGCUUUAAACGACCCGUCUUGA
rnacentral:rRNA from 1 species